rnacentral:rRNA from 1 species
CGACCGGGUGAGUAACACGUGAUUAACCUACCUUCGAGUGGGGAAUAACUUCGGGAAACCGAAGCUAACACCGCAUAACAUCCCAAGGACGAGAAGCCCAGGGAUCAAAGGAGCAAUUCGCUUGAAGAGGGGGUCGCGGCUGAUUAGCUAGUUGGCGGGGUAAUGGCCCACCAAGGCGAUGAUCAGUAGCCGGCCUGAGAGGGCGCACGGCCACACUGGAACUGAAACACGGUCCAG